UGCGUAGGCGGGUUUGUAAGUCAGUGGUGAAAUCUUCGAGCUUAACUCGGAAACUGCCGUUGAUACUACAGGUCUUGAAUACCCGGGAGGUGAGCGGAAUAUGUCAUGUAGCGGUGAAAUGCUUAGAUAUGACAUAGAACACCAAUUGCGAAGGCAGCUCACUACAGGGACAAUUGACGCUGAGGCACGAAAGCGUGGGGAUCAAACA
rnacentral:rRNA from 1 species